AAGGGAGACCUAAUUCAGGUAGGAGACGAAAAAAAAGUAGUCCCUACCAAGAAUCAAUCCCAAAAGGUCGGAGCGAGGCAAAAUUGGCUUUCAAACUAGGUUCUGGGUUCACACAAGACCUGAAUCAGGAACAAGGGCUAUUAGCUCAGGUGGUUAGAGCGCACCCCUGAUAAGGGUGAGGUCCCUGGUUCGAGUCCAGGAUGGCCCACCUGCACAGGUGGCCAAAACAAAGAAAAAAAGCUCCGAAUCAGCACCUUAUCUUACUUAUAUAGUAAGAGAGAAUGCUGGCUCUGAGUACAGAGUCCAGAGGAACCUUGAAAACUGCAUAGAGCUAGGUGAAAAAGCCAAAAAAGAAGACCGCAA
rnacentral:tRNA from 1 species